rnacentral:rRNA from 1 species
UUUUGGACAAUGGGGGCAACCCUGAUCCAGCAAUGCCGCGUGAGUGAAGAAGGCCUUCGGGUUGUAAAGCUCUUUUGUCAGGGAAGAAACACCGACUCUAACACAGUCCGGGAAUGACGGUACCUGAAGAAUAAGCACCGGCUAACUACGUGCCAGCAGCCGCGGUAAUACGUAGGGUGCAAGCGUUAAUCGGGAUUACUGGGCGUAAAGCGUGCGCAGGCGGUUAUACAAGACAGGCGUGAAAUCCCCGGGCUUAACCUGGGAAUGGCGCCUGUGACUGUAUAGCUAGAGUGUGUCAGAGGGGGGUAGAAUUCCACGUGUAGCAGUGAAAUGCGUAGAUAUGUGGAGGAAUACCAAUGGCGAAGGCAGCCCCCUGGGAUAACACUGACGCUCAUGCACGAA